CUACGGGUUGCUGCAGUGGGGAAUAUUGCGCAAUGGGCGAAAGCCUGACGCAGCAACGCCGUGUGAGGGAUGAAGGCUUUCGGGUCGUAAACCUCUGUCAGAAGGGAAGAACGGGUAUUGGUCUAAUAGGCCUUUAUUUUGACGGUACCUUCAGAGGAAGCACCGGCUAACUCCGUGCCAGCAGCCGCGGUAAUACGGAGGGUGCAAGCGUUAUUCGGAAUUACUGGGCGUAAAGCGCACGUAGGCCGCUUUGUAAGUCAGGGGUGAAAUCCCACGGCUCAACCGUGGAACUGCCUUUGAAACUGCAGAGCUUGAAUCCUGGAGAGGGUGGCGGAAUGCCUGGUGUAGGAGUGAAAUCCGUAGAUAUCAGGAGGAACACCGGUGGCGAAGGCGGCCACCUGGACAGGUAUUGACGCUGAGGUGCGAAAGUGUGGGGAGCAAACAGGAUUAGAUACCCCAGUAGUC
rnacentral:rRNA from 1 species